CAACUGCAGGAGAGAAAGAACCAUGUGACUUCUGGGUCACCAACUCCCGAUGCAGAGGGGAGGGUCUGUGCAGGAAACUGCAGCCUUGAAGAGCCAAGGGUUUCAAAGGCAGCCAUGGAUACUGAGUUGGUUUUGUUGUUUUCUGACAAGGUCUUGUUAUGUAGCUCAGGCUGGCUUUGAACACUGGGCUUACAGUCCUCACUCCCUCCCUUGAGACCUUGUUGACUGACUGAGCUGGCUUGGUCACAGCAGUCUGAGGAUCAGAAUGUGGAAUUCUAAGUUCUAUCUCCAGCCCCGUGUCUGCCUGCAUGCUGCCAUUCUCCCACCGUGAUAAUGGACAGAACCUCUGAACUGUAAGCCAGCCCCAAUUAAAUGUUUUCCUUUAUAAGA